UCUUUUUCUUCCUCUCUUCUCUUUCUUUUUCGUUCUUUUGCUUUCCUUCUUCCCCUUCUCCAGCCUCUUCCUCGAGAGAGAGAAGAGACGCAAGGGGAAGAGAAGAGAGAGAGAGAGUCUCAUAAUCAUCUCCCCCUCCUUUUUUCCGGAGUUUUACACUCAUGAGAUCAAAAGAAAAGAAAAUAGAA
rnacentral:ribozyme from 1 species